GUAAAAUUAAUGAAGGGGGAAUUGUUACAAAUUUGAACCCCAACAGCCACCCCUUGUAAGCUUUAACAGAACAUGAAUUCCCAAAACAUAAUCCUCCCAUCACAGAAGCUCACCUCCUUUUGGUUGUCAUUCACUUGUUUUGAGAAAAUGAAUACUUACUCAAACUAAUCAAGUAUAUUAUGCAAAUACAUUGCUUCACAUGUGCAGUUGUUCUUUUCUCAGAAACCUAACCAAGCUUGCUCAUUUAGGCAUAGAAGCAUUUCAGAGUUAGGAAAUGUAGAUCUUAACUCAAACUUUAUAUUCUUUAACUCCAAUUAACAGAAAUUUGGGUUGUAAGCUGACCACUAUUAGCAUUAGAAAGACAUGUUAAAGGUCUGUAGUGGCUAAGUAAAAAUAUACAGCCACAAACUAGAAAACCAGUAUUAGCAUGCAUCAGAUGAGAUAAUCAAAAUGAAAAAGGAAAAAAAAGUUCCAAACUACUCAUUUUAAAUGAAUUUGACAAAGCAAAAAACACAGAAUUUAAUCAAUUUAUCAUGCCUUACAGUUUGCAUUUCAUAUUGGAAAGAGGAAAAAAAAAUCCUCCCGAAAA
rnacentral:misc_RNA from 1 species